GUAUUGUCUUACCGACUCAAUAGUUUGUAGUAUGGUUGUACUUAACUACCUAGUUUUAUCUACUUAGGGUAGGUGAUGCUGGGACAGGUCUUAUCGCUGAUCCACAACAUUAAUCAAAACACGACUAGGUCUUUGGGGUAAUGCCCUCGAGGUCCAAAUCUUCACCUACCUGUAAACAGUAUUCAAGUAUCUGGAUCAAUAUAAACACUA
rnacentral:misc_RNA from 1 species